rnacentral:rRNA from 1 species
UGGGGAAUAUUGCACAAUGGGGGAAACCCUGAUGCAGCGACGCCGCGUGAGCGAUGAAGGCUUUCGAGUCGUAAAGCUCUGUCCUAUGGGAAGAUAAUGACGGUAUCAUAGAAGAAAGCCCCGGCUAAUUACGUGCCAGCAGCCGCGGUAAUACGUAAGGGGCGAGCGUUGUCCGGUAUUAUUGUGCGUAAAGAGUGCGUAGGCGGCAAAUUAAGUCAGAUGUGAAAACUAAGGGCUCAACCCAUAGAUUGCAUCUGAAACUGAUAUGCUUGAGUCAAGGGGAGGAAAGUGGAAUUCCUAGUGUAGCGGUGGAAUGCGUAGAUAUUAGAAGGAAUACCGGUGGCGAAGGCGACUUUCUGGACUUUUACUAACGCUCAGGUACGAAAGCGUGGGGAGCAAACAGG